UGAUUUUACGAAAUGAACGGUGUCUUAUAGACUUAAUAGGGAAUCUGGUAGGAAGCCAGAACUGCCCCCGCAACUGUAAGUGUGGACGAAAUGAGGAUCCACUGUGCUUUUUGAUUAAGCAUGGGAAGGCUCAAAGUAGAGGGAAGCACGAGUCAGGAGACCUGCCGUCAUUUUUAAGUCAGC
rnacentral:ncRNA from 2 species